AUGAAGCCGGAAUUGCUAGUAAUGGCAGGUCAGCAUACUGCCGUGAAUACGUUCCCGGGCCUUGUACACACCGCCCGUCACACCAUGAGAGUUGGGAAUACCCGAAGCCUGUGAGCUAACUUUUAGAGGCAGCAGUCGAAGGUAGAAUCAAUGACUGGGGUGAAGUCGUAACAAGGUAUC
rnacentral:rRNA from 1 species